UUACCCAAUCCCGACUCGGGGAGGAGUGACAAUAAAUAACAAUGCUGGGCUAUCGUAGUCCGGCAAUUGGAAUGAGAACAAUUUAAAUCCCUUAACGAGGAACAAUUGGAGGGCAAGUCUGGUGCCAGCAGCCGCGGUAAUUCCAGCUCCAAUAGCGUAUAUUAAAGUUGUUGCAGUUAAAAAGCUCGUAGUUGGAUUUCGGGGCGGCCCGACUGGUCCGCCGCGAGGUGAGCACUGGUCGGCCGCUCUUCCUCUCGGAAGCCCCGACUGCUCUUCGUUGCAGUGGUCGGGGAGUUCGGGACGUUUACUUUGAAAAAAUUAGAGUGUUCAAGGCAGGCCGUCGCCUGAAUACAUUAGCAUGGAAUAAUGGAAGAGGACCUCGGUCCCGUUUUGUUGGUUUCUUGGACCGAAGUAAUGAUUAAGAGGGACAGUUGGGGGCAUUCGUAUUUAAUUGUCAGAGGUGAAAUUCUCGGAUUUAUGAAAGACGAACGACUGCGAAAGCAUUUGCCAAGGAUGUUUUCAUUAAUCAAGAACGAAAGUUAAGGGUUCGAAGACGAUCAGAUACCGUCGUAGUCCUA
rnacentral:rRNA from 1 species